rnacentral:rRNA from 1 species
GACGUAGGGGGCCAGCGUUGUUCGGAAUUACUGGGUGUAAAGGGUUCGUAGGCGGUGUGGCAAGUCGGGAGUGAAAUCUCUGGGCUCAACCCAGAGUCUGCUUCCGAAACUGCUGUGCUUGAGUGUGGGAGAGGCGCGUGGAAUUGCAGGUGUAGCGGUGAAAUGCGUAGAUAUCUGCAGGAACACCCGUGGCGAAAGCGGCGCGCUGGACCACUACUGACGCUGAGGCGCGAAAGCCAGGGGAGCGAACGGG